UUCGUAAGUGUGUUCAACGCGUCUUUGCUGUACCCGUAUGAAACCCUAAUCUGGCAAUUCAACUUUUCCACUCCAACCAUCAUCUACGGCAAUCUUUUCUCUCAUAUAUUCAAAACCCCCAAUUCAUCUAAACCCUAAUCUUCCCAUACCAGUGUGUUCUUGAUUCAAACAUAAAGAUCUCACAAAACUUCAUCAUCAAGAAUAUCAUUCAAGAUCUCUCACCAGAUGCCGUUUCAUGACCAGAUCUGUGAGGAUUUCACCAGAUCGAUUAAGGUCUGCAACCCUUGGGGGACGGGAGAGAGUGACGGUGGUGAUGAUCCGGUUACAGGCUUCUAUACGGUGUGACAGUGGUGGUCCUUAACAGCCACCAUACAUUGUUGACGGUUCCUUGGUUAAAAUGAGGCAAAGGACAAUGCCAGAAAACCGUAGCCGCCGCUUCCCGCGGUGGUAGCUAGGGUUCCGGCGAAGUCUCCAACGAAGCUCCGAGUUGAUACUUUCAAGAUUGAUCAUCUUCAUACGAGGCUGUUGCUGACUUGUCAACACCACAAGAUGGGAAGGUAACUGAGAACGGAAAGAAGAGAAAACGAAACAAUCAGUCGAACGAAGAGGGUGAUUUGGUCAAAAGAGGAAAGUGCUUGGAAGGGAGGUUUAUUUCUUAUAUGAUAUAAUAAUUUGGCUGCUUUAGUUUAGAUGUUUGAGAAUGUAAUAAAGAUCAAUAUUUUGCAUCAUCUUUUACCCCGAACAAAUGCCACACGCUAUCAUGUUACUCAGGUUAUGAUGAUUGCUGUCUAUGUGAUACUUCCGGUAUAGGACUAUUGAAGCGUUGCAUGAUUUGUGGAAUUGUAAACUAUAAUUAUGUAUAAGGAUGUUAUAAACUAUGAUUGUGGCAAUGAUUUCUCAUUUAGAAACAAAAUCGGAAGCGGUACUUACAUAAAUGUAGAAAAUUGUGAAUGGAGCAUCUAAUGUUCAUUAAUUUUGUUCAACUAACAGGACGGCCUUUGGAUGAUGCAGUUGCUGAGUGUAACCUUUUUAUCACUUGCUUCCAAAGUGGAAGAAACUGAAAUUCCCACAAUUUUGGAUUUGCAGGUUGGUGAAUCAAGAUUUGUGUUUGAAGCAAAAACAAUUCAGAAAAUGGAAUUGAUUGUUUUGAGCACAUUGAAGUGGAGAAUGCAAUCAGUGACUCAAUUUUCCUUCAUUGAUUCAUUCAUUAGAAAGGUUAAUGAUGAUGGUCAAAGUCAAACCAAUUUAAGAUCUUUAAUCUUGAGGUCUACCCAGAUUAUUUUAGGUUUGAUCCAAGGGAAAGAAAGCAAAUUUUGCUUAAAAACAAUCACUUUAUGUCAAGGUUGAGUUUCUUGAAUUAUACGUAAAAAAUAUGGUAAAAUUGUAAUUUGACAAUUUAUGCCAUUUAAGUUUAAAAGAAGACAAUUUCCUAUUGCUGUAUGCUUUGCCAUGACGAUAAAUAAAAGUCAAGGUCAAUCGUUAUCCAAAGUAGGUCUUUUUCUCAGACAACCAGUCUUUUCUCAUGGUCAGCUUUACGUCGCUUUGUCUAGAGUUAAAAGCAGAGAUGGACUCAAACUCGUAAUUGUUGAUAAAGAUGGUCAACUUACGAAUACGACACUGAAUGUUGUAUAUAAAGAAGUUUUUAGAGAUCUGUAAUUUGUAUUUGUGUCUAUA